AGUCGUCAUAUGGCGUCCACCUGAGUGACUUUAGUGGACAUGUAUAGUUUCCAACUAAGGCACGCGGUGAAUGCCACGUGGCAAUUC
rnacentral:pre_miRNA from 14 species